rnacentral:lncRNA from 1 species
GUGAGCGCUACAGUAGCAGGUAUCCUUCCUGUAAACAUCCAUGUUCGUGAAUCCUAAUCCAUCCCACCAAACCCCAAUGUGACAAUUUCAGUAGUUUAUUUUAUUCUUUAUUUAGUGGAUAAGUUUUCAACUAUUCAUCCAUGAACCAUGAUCCAUCGUCCAAUUUCAGAUUUUCAAUAUGCCUAAGAAGCAGUUGUCGAGUGCUGAAAAAGGGAGAAAAAAAGAAAGAAAGUGAUUUGAAAAUUCAACCACUGAAGGGUUCUUUGAAUAAGUACUUUGCAUCUUCAAGCAAUGUUGGUGUCAGUGAAGAACAAGGGCAAGAAACUAAUCCCGAGCAUGGAACACCUGAAGAAACUUUUUCUGAAGCAUUGAAGUAUUAUUGUUUUCGAUUGAGUCAGUCAAAUUUGGUUCUUAUUUGAGGUAAUAAUGUCAUGUUAUGUUUCAUUUUGCUAUCUUUCUAGUAUUAUCGUUGUCGAUGGAGUCAGUUCGAAUUUGGUUAUUAUAGACAAAUGUUAAACUAAAGAUAUGUGACUGAAAGUUACUCUUAAUAAGUUAUAUCUAUACCUACUAUUAAAGGGAAUAGAUAU